GCGUCGGGACGACCCGGCUUGCUUUCCACGCUGCGGGGACGGCCUCG
rnacentral:ncRNA from 1 species